UGCGUAGGCGGCACUGCAAGUCAGAUGUGAAAUCCCCGGGCUUAACUCGGGGGGUGCAUUUGUAAACUAGCGGUGCUUGAGUGCAGGAGAGGAAAGCGGAAUUCCUAGUGUAGCGGUGAAAUGCGUAGAUAUUAGGAGGAACACCAGUGGCGAAGGCGGCUUUCUGGACUGUAACUGACGCUGAGGCACGAAAGCGUGGGGAGCAAACA
rnacentral:rRNA from 1 species